UCAGGGGUGACAGGGACACGCAGGUGCCACCACAGGGGUGACAGGGACACGCAGGUGUCACCACAGGGCUGACGGGGACACGCAGGUGUCACCACGGACACGCAGGUGUCACCACAGGGGUGACGGGGACACUCAGGUGCCACCCCAGACGUGACAGGGACACUCAGGUGCCACCACGGACACGCAGGUGUCACCACAGGGGUGACAGGGACACUCAGGUGCCACCCCAGACGUGACAGGGACACGCAGGUGUCACCAAACAGGUGUCACUGUGGUCACACAGGUGUCACCAUGGACACUCAGGUGUCACCACGGACAUGCAGGUGCCACCCCAGAGGUGACAGGGACACUCAGUGUCCCCAGAGUGUCCCCAAGUGACCCCAGAGUGUCCCCAAAGUGUCCCCAGAGUGUCCCCAGUGUCCCCAGUGUCCCCAAAGUGUCCCCAAAGUGUCCCAAAAGUGUCCCAAAAGUGUCCCCAAAGUGUCCCCAGAAUGUCCCCAGUGUCCCCAAAGUGUCCCCAAGUGUCCCCAGGUGUCCCCAGAAUGUCCCCAGGUGUCCCCAGAGUGUCCCAAAGUGUCCCAAAAGUGUCCCCAGGUGUCCCCCCAGGUGUCCCCAAAAUGUCCCCAGGUGUCCCCAAAGUGUCCCCAAGUGUCCCCAGGUGUCCCCAGGUGUCCCCAGAAUGUCCCCAGUGUCCCCAAAGUGUCCCCAGGUGUCCCCAGCCCAUCAGAACCACAGCAGCCGCUCCCUUCCAAAUUCUUUUAUUUCCGUUCUUUAAAAAAACCCCAAAACAGUAAAAAAAUAAAACCAAAACCGUAAAAAAACCCCAAAACUCCCGGAGGGGGAGGGGAUUCAGGAGCCUGGGGGGGUCCCCUGGGAAUUGGGGGUGAUCCUGGGGGGUCUCCCCUGGGAAUUUGGGGUGAUCCUGGGGGGUCUCCCCUCAAUCCUGGGGAAUUUGGGGCGGUGCCAGGGGGGUGUCCCCUCAAUCCUGGGGGGUCCCCUGGGAAUUUGGGGUGCUCCUGGGGCGUCUCCCCUCAAUCCAGGGGAACUGGGGGUGCUCCUGGGGGUCUCCCCUGGGAAUUGGGGGCAAUCCUGGGGGUCUCCCCUGGGAAUUUGGGGUGGAUUCUGGGGGGUUUCCCCUGGGAAUUUGGGGCGGUUCUGGGGGGUCUCCCCUCAAUCCAGGGGGGUCCCCUGGGAAUUUGGGGUGGAUUCUGGGGGGUCUCCCCUGGGAAUUUGGGGUGCUCCUGGGGGUCUGCCCUGGGAAUUUGGGGCAGUUCUGGGGGUCUCCCCUCAAUCCAGGGGGUCCCCUGGGAAUUUGGGGUGGUCCUGGGGGUCUCCCCUGGGAAUUUGGGGUGCUCCUGGGGGUCUCCCCUCAGUCCAGGGGGAUCCCCACAGACCCCAGAGCCUCCCGAGCCCAGGCCGGGGGUCCCCCGCGCCCCCCGUACAUGGUGGCCAUGAACUCCCGCACGAACUCCGGGAAGCGCCGCUGGACGAUGCUCUCCCGGAUGGAACCCAUCAGCUUCAUCUGAGGAGGGGUCCCGAGGCUCAGGGGGGGCUCUGAGACC
rnacentral:lncRNA from 1 species